rnacentral:rRNA from 1 species
UACGUAGGGUGCAAGCGUUAAUCGGAAUUACUGGGCGUAAAGCGUGCGCAGGCGGUUAUGUAAGACAGAUGUGAAAUGCCCGGGCUUAACCUGGGAACUGCAUUUGUGACUGCAUGGCUAGAGUUUGGCAGAGGGGGGGUAGAAUUCCACGUGUAGCAGUGAAAUGCGUAGAUAUGUGGAGGAACACCGAUGGCGAAGGCAGCCCCCCUGGGCUAGCACUGACGCUCAGGCACGAAAGCGUGGGGAGCAAACAGG